rnacentral:rRNA from 1 species
GAUGAACGCUGGCGGCGUGCCUAAUACAUGCGAGUCGAGCGAACGGACGAGAAGCUUGCUUCUCUGAUGUUAGCGGCGGACGGGUGAGUAACACGUGGAUAACCUACCUAUAAGACGGGGAUAACUUCGGGAAACCGGAGCUAAUACCGGAUAAUAUUUUGAACCGCAUGGUUCAAAAGUGAAAGACGGUCUUGCUGUCACUUAUAGAUGGAUCCGCGCUGCAUUAGCUAGUUGGUAAGGUAACGGCUUACCAAGGCAACGAUGCAUAGCCGACCUGAGAGGGUGAUCGGCCACACUGGAACUGAGACACGGUCCAGACUCCUACGGGAGGCAGCAGUAGGGAAUCUUCCGCAAUGGGCGAAAGCCUGACGGAGCAACGCCGCGUGAGUGAUGAAGGUCUUCGGAUCGUAAAACUCUGUUAUUAGGGAAGAACAUAUGUGUAAGUAACUGUGCACAUCUUGACGGUACCUAAUCAGAAAGCCACGGCUAACUACGUG